GUUGUUUUGUUUUAUCAUCAAAGGAUGUUGGAUUCUGUCAAUUUAUUCUAUUGUAGUGUAUUACCUUGGUUGAUUUGCAUGUGUUGAUACACCCUCAUAUUACUGGAAUAACUCCCACUUAGUUAUGUUGCAUAAUCCCUUUAAUAUGCUGCUGGAUUCAGUGAACUUUUUUUUAAAGGAUUUUGCCUCUAUAUUCUUAAGGAAUAUUAUCUGUAUUCAUAAGGCAUAUUGGUCUUGGAUCUCUUUGGCUUUGGUAAUGCUGGCCUCAUAGAAAUGAGUUGGGAAAUGCUCCCUCUUCUGUGUUUUGGUAGAAUUGAAGAAGGAUUAAUGUUGAUACUACUUGAAAUAUUUGGUAAAGUUCUACUAUAUUAGGGUGUCCCACACUGGUUGUUUAAACAGAGAGUUUAGUAUAAAGAAUAACUACACUGUUAGCUAGGCAACUGAAAGAGUGAAUUGAGAAUUCUGAGGCACUGGGCAAGUGGUUCUCAAAGUUCAGCAUGCAUGAGGGUCAACUGGAGGUCUUGGUAAACACAUUCCUGCUUUUGCCAUCUGAGCUGCUGCCUCAGUAGGUUGGGUGGUGCUUAGGAAUCUGCAUUUCUAACCAGUUCCCAGGAGGAUGCUGAUGUUGUUGAUCCUGGGACAGUAGUUUGAGAACCACUGUUUCAAGGUCUCAUGGGGGUAACAUCUAUAGUUUCUCCAGGCUGAGGGAACAAAGGGAACAAGUUUCAAUUAUUAAAACAUAGAAUCUUAGGAAAGGGGCCCCAUGCGCCUGGGUCUCAGUCGUCUGAAGGACUGCCAAAUGGCCAGUGGUGGUGUUUCCAGGACUGAAGGUAAGGUCUGUGGGGGUGGUGUGUGGGGCUGGUGCAGUGUACCUGGGGUUCUGCACAUGUUGGGAAAACCACAUGGGAUUAGCUGCUGCUGUGGGAAGGAAUUACAGCUAUAAAGAGACACUGCGGGAAUGAAGCUUCGAGAAAUGAGAAGAUAGGGAGGAGUCAGUCAGUCCCUCUUCAUCUCCAGUUUGCGGUUUCCUUCAAGCAUCCUUUACUGGCAGAGCUAACACAGAGCCAGCUGGCAAAGCAGCAGGGGUAUGCCAAUGAAAGGACAGGUUGGAACUGAGAGACUACAAUUGAAUCAUUGGCACCAUCAACAUACCUGCGAUACCUGUGUGAGCCUCUGUGUGGCCACCAACCAAUUCUUUUUCUGUUUAAUAAGAUGGAAAUAUCUUAUUUACACAUGAUGCACCUACCCUCGCCCCAAAAUUGAGAUGCAAAAUCUUAGCAGUCAGUUAUCCUUCACUGGACUAUGUUGAUUAUUCCCCCUAAAUCAAUCAUAGUUCCAUCUGAAAAUUCUCUUACAAAAAGAUACAAUUAACCUGCAAUAAAACUUGAAUAAAAUAAGAGAAUAAAUACACAUAUACAUAUACUCUAUGCCUCUCAGCAAAAGGAAGGAGAGGUUCUGUCCUCUUUUCUAUGAAUAGUCGUGUGGCCUUAGCUAGUAUUUGUAACUUCUGCUUCUACCUGUUCCAUAUUUCUUUGGCCUUCACUAGAACUUCAGCUCUUUGGGGUUUCCUACCUGACAAGUGCCUAAGAUCUGCAUUACUAAAGCAUCUGCACUGUCAGCAGUGCCUUUUUUUUUUUUUUUUGUACCUAUAAUUUACCAUUGACUUUUCUACUAGGCAUGGAAGGCUAAGAGAUACCUCAGUGGAUCCCCUGGAUUCCAGACAGUUCUUUCCCCCACUGGCAGCACAACCCAUUUGUCACUUGCCUCAGUGGCUUGAGGAGGCCACGUGGCAGAACCAUCGUUGUGGCACCUUGUGGCAGCAUUACCCACUUAACCUCCCACUAGUUGCAAAGAUGGCUUAAUGUUGGUAAGUGUGAUGGUAAGAGGAGUCACUCCACCUCCUCCCUUGAGUCCUAAACCCCUGUAUUCUGGCUCACAAACGGUACCCUGUAUUGCUUCUCAGGCAAAGCUAUGGAGCUUGGGUUUUAUUCUUUUUAUGUGUUUUUUCUUUCUCAGUUCCGUGAUUGAGCCAGAGGGAAUGAGCAUCUUGACUAGGUCUCCUUGUCUCUUUUUUAGCUUGCUUGUGUUUGAAAACUUUUUCCCCCUCCUUUUUGUUUAAUUUGUAUGCGUUUGCCUGCUCUUCCUUGAUGUUGAGCCCAGAAAUCUCUUUCUCACAGUUCAUUCCUAUUACCACUGCAGCUCCACUGGGUGGCCUGAGCUAUCAGCUUCUCUGCAGCAGCUCUCACAUGGCCUCCGCUGUCAGCUAGGAAUACCUGCACACAUAGCUCUUUGGAAUACUAAAAUACAUGGGUCUCUAAUGCUGAUGGCUAAUCAUUUUAGUUCAAAAAGCACGACUUUAUAUUUUGGUCAUUUGGGAUAGGAAUAAAAAGGCUUAAAUUUUCUAAAGUUUGUAAAAAGGAACAUAACUUGAAAAAAUGUUAUGAAAAGAUUUGAGGGGUGAGUGAUGUGGAGGUUAUUAGUCCUUUCAUAUUUAAGUAUGAAUUCUUUCUUUCUUUCUUAUUUCUUUUUUCUUUUUUGUCUUUUUAGGGAUGCACCUGCAGCAUACAGAAGUUCCCAGGCUAGGGGUCAAAUCAGAGCUGUAGCAGCUGGCCUGCGCCACAGCCACAGCAAUGCCAGAUCUGAGCUGCAUUUAUGACCUACACCACAGCUCACGGCAAUGCCGGAUCCUUAAUCCACUGAGUGGGGCCAGGGAUUGAACCUGCGUCCUCAUGGAUGCUAGUCAGAUUUGUUUCCACUGAGCCAUGACAGGAACUCUGAAUUGUUUCUUUUCAACUCUGCCUGAGAUUAGCUUCAUUAAGUUGAAUCACUUAGAAUGUCAAGAAUGUAAACAUGUAAAGACAAAUGUAUUACAAAAUAUUAACAUGCAGUAAAUGUGUUAGAAUACUCAGGUAUUUCAUUAUUUUGGUUUUGUUUGAGUUGCUUUAAGUGGUCAUCGUGACCAUUUUUUAAAAACUAUUAAUAGUCUUGGGGAGUUCCCGUGGCACAGUGGUUGAUGAAUCUGACUAGGAACCAUGAGGUUGUGGGUUCGAUCCCUGCCCUUGCUCAGUGGGUUAACGAUCCGGCGUUGCCGUGAGCUGUGGUGUAGGUCGCAGAUGUGGCUGGGAUCUGGCAUUGCUGUGGCUCUGGCGUAAGCUGGUGGCUACAGCUCCGAUUCGACCCCUAGCCUGGGAACCUCCAUAUGCCGCGGGAGCGGCCCUAGAAAAGGCAAAAAGACAAAAAAUAAAUAAAUAAAAAUAAAAUAAAAACCACUACUAGUCUUGGAAAGAGUGCAGUGAUUAGAGUCACUAAAGUACACCGACUGCUAGAUGACUGUGGUUUUCCAGGUUAGCCCCAAUGCAGAACACAGCAACGUUCUAUUAGAACUUUUACUCUUUUUAUAAAAAGGUAUUUUGUGAAAAUGAGCAUUUAAAAAUAUCUAUAUCAAAAUUCUUGAGCAGUAAUAUGACACGAUAAAGUUGUUCUAAAUUCUUGUUCUUACUUGUGUUUAGCAUGAGUCAUGAUUUCAUAUUACAUGUAUUAGUACAUAAAAAGAGGAGUCGGGGGAGUUCCGGUCGUGGCACAGCGGAAAGAAAUCCAGCAAGGAACCAUGAGGUUGUGGGUUCGAUCCCUGGCCUCAUUCAGUGGGUUAAGGAUCCGGUGUCGCCAUGAGCUGUGGUGUAGUUUGCAGAUGUGGCUUGGAUCCUGCAUUGCUGUGGCUCUGGCGUAGGCUCGAGGCUACAGCUCUGAUUAGACCCCUAGCCUGGGAACCUUCAUACGCCGCCGGUUCGGCCCUGAAAAAACACAAAGAGUCAGUUCCAGAAUUGUGGUAGUAACAUGAAAACUAUGCUCACAUAUUUUCUUUUCUGACCAUAGGAAUUCUCAAAGAAAGCACUGUCCUCUUCUAUCAGGUAAGACUGCUUGAAUCUUCCUUGUUCUCCUCUGGCUUGUCUACCAGCCUGACAAGUUGCCAAAGGUCCAUUAGGGGAGCUUGAAGUCUGGCCAGUUGCAGCUUUUCAGAUUGAGAGUUUAAUUACAUACCAGAAUUGCCUGUGAAUUUUCUAUUGUACGACUAUUGCUUUGUAAUUAUAUAGGAAUCAAAAAGCCUUUUGUCUGAAUAGAUUUGAUUCUAUUCUCCUGCGGUUAAAAACAAGAAAAGAAACAUUUUUCCCCUCAGAAUUUUCAAGUGACCAAUCUGUGGCUAAUUUAUAAUUAAUGCUUUCAGUUAGGUUCUCACAUGCCAUUUCCUUGAAUACUAAAUGAAUGAAUAUACUUUAUCUUCCAGUCGGAUGUGGGUCCAGUGUUCUCAGUGAGUGUUAUGACCUUUAUUUUUGGUGUAGAACUGAUAAGCUCUCAUAAUUUUGUGAGGGAAAGUGAACCCUAACAACAGCAAUUCAAAGAAAAAUUAGAUUAUUCCCAUAAUGAAGAAGGAGACGAGGAGUUCCCGUUGUGGCACAGGGGAAGCAGAAUCUGACUAGUAACCAUGAGGUUGUGGGUUCAAUUCCUGGCCUCGCUGAGUGGGUUAAGGAUCCGGCGUUGCCAUGAACUGUGGUGUAGAUUGCAGAUGCAGCUCAGAUCCUGCAUUGCUGUGGCUAUGGCCUAGGCCAACAGCUGUAGCUCUGAUUUGACCCCUAGCCUGGGAACCU
rnacentral:lncRNA from 1 species